UUAAAAAUGUUUUAUCUCUGAGCAAUAUUUACAUAAUAAGCAUUGUUUAUGGACGUUGACCUUAUACUUAUCCUAAGUGAUGAGUUGGCGUGAGCACUGCUCCACUGAGCAGUGAGUGGGUACCACAAUGGAGAAGAAGAUCAGCAAUGGACUCCACAUCCUCAGCACGACCAGUCGGCACAGGUGCAACGGGCAAUACUGGCCUAGCGCAUAGAAAGCAGCAACCAAGUAGCCACGAACUAUCACAUCCUGCGUGGAUGGGCAUAUAUCCUCUCCUGAUGUUGUUCAACUGCAGAGUCUCAAAACCAAAUAUCCCUCUACAGAAGGAUUUUUCUGCUCUCACUGGAUUGUCUCCUCAUUGGACCUAAGAACACUCAGCCAUAAAUAUGCUUGAAAUAACUGCAUCAUACAUCUUUACCUGAACACCUAAUGCCACAGACCCUUAAGGAAGACUUUACGGAUUGGAGCAUGAGCACUUUAAAGUGAUUCAAAAUUAUGGAGGAGCUACAAAGUUUAGAAAGUGCUUCAAUGCGUUACCAAUCCGAGCAGCAGUGGAACCAUUCCGAGGAG